rnacentral:rRNA from 1 species
UACGUAGGGGACCAAGCGUUGUUUCGGAUUUACUUGGGGCGUAAAAGGGGCGCGUAGGGCGGGCAAUUCAAAGUCAGCUGUGAAAGUCUCCCGGGCUUAACUCGGAACGGUCAGCUGAUUACUGUUUUUGCUAGAGUGACAGAAGGGGCAAUCGGGAAUUCUACGGGUGUAGCGGUGAAAUGCGUAGAUAGUCGAGAGGAACACCUGAGGUGAAGACGGGUUGCUGGGCUGAACACUGGACGCUGGAUGCGCGAAAGCCAGGGGAGCAAACAGG